UACGUAGGGUGCAAGCGUUAUCCGGAAUUAUUGGGCGUAAAGAGCUCGUAGGCGGUUUGUCGCGUCUGCUGUGAAAACCGGAGGCUCAACCUCCGGCCUGCAGUGGGUACGGGCAAACUAGAGUGCGGUAGGGGAGAUUGGAAUUCCUGGUGUAGCGGUGGAAUGCGCAGAUAUCAGGAGGAACACCGAUGGCGAAGGCAGAUCUCUGGGCCGUAACUGACGCUGAGGAGCGAAAGCGUGGGGAGCUAACAGG
rnacentral:rRNA from 1 species